rnacentral:rRNA from 1 species
GCUUGCUUCUAUGACGUUAGCGGCGGACGGGUGAGUAACACGUGGGCAACCUGCCUGUAAGACUGGGAUAACUCCGGGAAACCGGAGCUAAUACCGGAUAACAUUUUCUCUUGCAUAAGAGAAAAUUGAAAGAUGGUUUCGGCUAUCACUUACAGAUGGGCCCGCGGUGCAUUAGCUAGUUGGUGAGGUAACGGCUCACCAAGGCAACGAUGCAUAGCCGACCUGAGAGGGUGAUCGGCCACACUGGGACUGAGACACGGCCCAGACUCCUACGGGAGGCAGCAGUAGGGAAUCUUCCGCAAUGGACGAAAGUCUGACGGAACAACGCCGCGUGAAUGAUGAAGGGUUUCGGGUCGUAAAACUCUGUUGUUAGGGAAGAACAAGUACAAGAAUAACUGC